rnacentral:snoRNA from 1 species
GGGAGAGGGGAGAUAAAUAAAGAUUGGGAGGGGGAUAAAUAAAGAUUGGGAGGGGGGAUAAGGAAAUUGGGAGGGGGGGAGAUAAAUAAUCCAAUCUUUACUUAUCCCCCCCUCCCAAUUUCCUUAUCCCCCUCCCAAUCUUUCUUUAGCCCCCUCCCAAUCUUUCUUUAUCCCC